UGAGUUUUAGCCAUAACUCUACUUAUCUUAAAUUAGCAUAUGCAGCCAGCAAAACCUCUUCCCGUGUUAACUAAAUGAGUCACUUUCUGUCCCCAGAUGUACCUCUCUGUCCACCCCAACACAACAGUCACAUUUCUCAUAGAUGCAGGAUCAAGCAAUACCUGUAAAAUGUUACUACUUCAGGUUGUUAUCUUGGCUUUGGUUUUGUCUUAUGGUGGAAGUGCACAAAUACAUCUGAGACAAGCUAAGUUCUCCAUUACCAGGGCAGAAGAUAAAACUGCACAUAUAGACUGUGAAGCUUCUGGCAUUCAGAACUUCGGGAAUGCUGUUAUACACUGGUAUCGACACAGUCCUGGAGAAGCUCCGGCGUGGUUACUAUACUUUAAGACACGAGCUGAUAAAUCAAGUUUUGACAAGAAGUUUAGGGUUGACAAGACAACUGAAAAGUUCACCUGUACUCUAAGAGUAGACAAACUAACCUACAAUGAUGCAGCUACCUAUUACUGUGCCUACUGGGAUCGCACAGUGUUAGAACGCCAUAGACAGGCUGUACAAAAACCUCAAUCUAUUCUGAGCCACAAACUUUCAAAAGUGUACCAAAAAAAGAAACCCAACACACCUAGUUGCCUUUUUAAUCUUAAUCAACAGAAGGCACAAGUAGAUACUCAUUUUCUCUGA